UACGAAGGGUGCAAGCGUUAAUCGGAAUUACUGGGCGUAAAGCGUGCGUAGGCGGUUUCUUAAGUCCGUUGUGAAAGCCCUGGGCUCAACCUGGGAACUGCGAUGGAUACUGAGGAGCUGGAGUACGGUAGAGGAAGGUGGAAUUCCCGGUGUAGCGGUGAAAUGCGUAGAGAUGCGGAGGAACACCGAUGGCGAAGGCAGCCCCCUGGGCUAACACUGACGCUCAGGCACGAAAGCGUGGGGAGCAAACAGG
rnacentral:rRNA from 1 species